AUUUAUCAUCUGCAGCACAUCCCCAUCUCUGCUUUUAGUCCCAUGUGAUUUUAAACCCCCAUUUCUUCCUGUAUCAUCAGUCUAAAUAAUCCCAUGUAAUUGACAACUUUGUCAAUAACUGGCAGUGGCAAUUUACCAGAAAGUGCAGUUUAAUACCUUCCUUCCUUCAGCCUCCAGGAAGAUAGAUACACCUGCUCCUUCUCCUCAUUACCUCACGUCUCUCUCUGCAUUUCCCCUCUCCUACUGUUUAUUUGCAUAUGUAAAAGCUGAACCAGCUGAAUCCACCUUUUAUUAUUAUUCCAGCCCACUAUAUUCCCCUCCUAAUGGUUUUCACUCUUUUCCCAUGGGGAUGAUUCACUGCCACAUUAGUGUGAAAAUGUGCUGCCAUCUCCUCCUGGGAGCGCGGUGCUUUACCUGCAUGUAAAGCCUCUCCUGCUUAUUGCUCUCUGCCCCAAGUGCAGCAGCCUUCCGUGGGUCCUCGUAAGGUAGCCAACACACAAUAAACAGCUGGAAAGCUGCUGGAGAAAUGACAUACUUGCCUGAAAGGAAGAAUCUGGUACUGCUCUAAGGUAAUGGGAAUUCAUUUCUUCCUGGUUGUUUAUAUAUAACUUUUCAAGUAAUUGUUGGUAAGCCACGAAGAACUCUGUUUUCCUCUAUAAGUCCUUCAUUUGUUUGUUUUUGUGUUGUCUCAAGAGCUGGGAAAGCUGAAGUGACAAAGUAAUCUACCGUACCAUCUUAGUGCAGUGCGUGCAGCUCAGUUUUUAGAAACUUGUUUAAAUGCCAUUUUGAGUUUCGAAGUUCAUGUGGAAAAAGAGACGUAUCGAGUAUUGCUGUAGCAGUCGGUCACUAUAGAAACGUGCCGUAAAGAUAACAAUUGACCAUGGCCUUAAGGAGAAAAGAAUGUUGAAAUGAACAACAAACGUUCAAAGCCUCUUUUGUGCUGCUCAGCUGAAGCAGCCUGCCUUAUGAGAAUAGCUGAGGUUACAAAUGAUCAUCCGGGGGUAAUUGCCAUGAAGCUGCCUUUUUUCUGUUACAUGGUAGGUGUGCAGUGCACUUGGCAAGGGCCAGCGGCACGUUCCUUCAGCCAGCUUUUGCUGCUGUAGUGUCUUGCAAGGAUUCAUUAAUGUGCAAUUAAAAAAAAAAAAAAAAAGCAAAGCUCCCACUGCAUGUUAGGACAUCCUUAGUGCCCACCUGUCUGCAAGGCCACCAAGUUGAAUUUUGUAAAAUAAGCUAUUUAUACGGAACCUUUUCAUUUUUCUAGUGCCGCUUGCCAAUAGCUUUUCUUAAAACCUGCAGAGUUUUCUUCUUUUCUGAUGCUCAGGAGGUUUGUGAGGAGCAGGCAUGGCAGCAGCAUCCCUGCAGGUGCUCAGCUCCAGCAGCUGCCUCCCCAGCAUGAGUCCCAGGGCCCUCUUGCUGCCCUCUCACCUUUGCUGCUGGUGGUUCAGGUGAGUGCUCCUUAGCAGCACCAGGCUCUGGGGCUGUUUCUGCUCUGUAUUUCUUCCCUCCACGUUCUUGGUGGUGCUUAUCUCCUUAGAUGCUACUACAUUAUCUUUCUCAUUCCUUGGGGCUUGACAGCAGUUUGACUGAAUUUGAAUGCAUGUUCAUUUUGGAAGGGGAAAAAAGUCCUUGUGAGAUAAUCUUUGCAAUCAGAGAGCGAAGCCGUCCCUCUAGUGGGGCCCUGCAGCAGCUUUGUUGCCUCCUGGCAUUUGCCCUUUAAUAAAAUGUCUCCUUUUGUCUUCUGUAAGUCUGACAGCAAUCAGCCAGCACAUACUUGAGGUCGUGUUCCUGCUAUGAGGAAAGAUUGCUAUUUGCUACUAGGAUGCACUUCUGAAGAGGAAUUUUCUUCAUUAUUUCAGCUGCUUCCUAGCUGCCUUUUGACAGUGAAAAUGCAGUCUGUUCCUAGUCAACGUGAUAGGUUCAUGGGGGUUUUUUGAUUUCUUUUUUUCUUUUUGUUUGGAAACCAUGACUAAGCUCAUCACUGUCUGAAUAUCAGCCCUAAUACACAUAGAGAGGGGACCAGCCAGGCAAGUUGUACUUAAUAAGGAUGUCUGAUUCUGCUCAGUCACUUCCUUGUAGAGUUCAGGUUCAACUACUAGAGCAGACCCAGAGCUUUUUGGUAAAAAUAUUUUUAAAAGAUGAUCAGCUUCUAAUGAUGUUCUUCAGACUUCCUUUUGCUGUGAUUUCUGUCAUUUAUCAGCUAGAGUUAAAAAUAAUAAUAAUAAUAAUAAUCUUCCUUUUAAUGAAGUGCCAGGUGAUAUUUCUGGCAAGGUGUGAAUGUGAAUUGAGAGCAUCUGAAAACAAUGAUUUGACGAUAGCUGUCAUUAAGUUGCACUCAGAGAAGCAAGACAAAAAGGAGGUGUUGUGCCAGCUUCAUCAAGGUUGGCAUUGUAUGGGAAUUUGAAAGGGUUUCUUUUUAAUCUUCCUAUAAAAUAGAUCUCCAGGAGAUAGAGGGUUUUUUUCUUGCACCGCUGCUUCUAUCUGCAAAUAAAAGCUCCACUAAAUAGGUGUUUUAUGAAAAAUGUUUAACGACCUUUUAUUUAGAGGAGCUUUUCUUUCUCAGCUGCGUGCAAUUCCUGCUCAGCCCAGUGGACCAAUUCAGUCUUCUUCCCUGAGAAGAAUCCAGUGAAGUGCUCCAAGUUGUACGUGCCUGGGCUUAUACAUUUAAAUAAACACCUUGUGUUAGUUCAUUUUAAGGUCUUAGUUAUUUCCACACUGGGUUCUUGUCUUUGGCCCACUGGUAUCCACUGGGAGGUACCUUGAUUAGACUCUCUGAGGAAACAGAACCUGUUUGCUUGUUGUGGGUCUGCAUAAUAGGUAAACUUAGGAUAUCUGAAAAUGAAGAAGAUAAAACAUGGGGAGGAGGGAAAAAGGGAAUCAUUUUUGUUUUAGAAAGAUCGUUUAUUGGGCUAGUAGCAGUUUUUCUUUGCUUGUUGGAAGUAUUUGCUGUAUAUCCUAAGCUCUGCUGGAAAAAAUCAUGCAUAGAAUAGAGGAGAAACUCUGGAUGUGUUAUGGUGCUUACUCUGCUGUUUAGCACUCAAGUCAAAAUAGGGAGAAACUGUCAUAAGAGUAAUACUUUUGUAGGCAUAUUUUCAAGGACCACAAAUCUAAUAAUUUGCAACAUAAUUUUCCCCCCAUCUUUCACAGUUAUUUCUUUGCUUACAAUCUGUGAAUCCAGGUGGAAAGAGGAUAUUAUAUUGCCUAUGGCCGUCUUAGUGUGAAUUGUGAGCCCUUAAAUGCCAAACUACUUCUUAUUUUUUAAGAAGAAGAGAUUCAUCUUCUGAAAUCACAGAUCCAUGCAAAGGCUGCCCAUGUGCUAUAUGGAAAGAGCAUCUACUGGUGCUGUUGUUAUUUAGAGACGUGUGGGUUAAAAUACAAAUAUAGAUGGAAAAUCUGUGUGCUACUCAGAGCUCAUCUAUCCUGCCUUCAUCUUGUGUAAGUGAACUGAUUCUACAAAGGCAGCUACAGCUUGAUGGUGUUUUUUUUCUCUCUGUUGACCAAACUUCUGUCCUUCGCAGCAAGUCCGGACUAAUGCUUUGUAAUUGCUCUGAGGUCGGCACAUCCCCCUGACACCACUGUCAUCCAGCUGCAACUCCCAUGAUCCUACCUCAUCUGCAGAGCUCCCUCCAAAGCACUGUGAGGUCUCCCACAGGUUUCCAUGAUGCUGACCUGGCAGCCCUGGGGCCCCCUCACAGCAGGACAGGCUGCUGCCAGAAGCGCUCAUUCAGGUUAGUGCACUCUGCAUGAGUUUGCUCUGCAGGGGCAGGAUAACUGUGGACUGUAUUAAAAAUUGUUUCCAAAUGAGACAUUCCUUUCUUUUUCUGUGUCAGGAAAGCAUUAAGACUUAAUUAAAAGAGAAAUUUGAACUCAGAGAAAUUCGUACUGAUCAUUGCUCCUCUGGUGUAUUAAUUUCCAGUGUUGAAAGAGGACAAAUACCAAAAGGGGAUGACAUGUCAAAAUUUUAGUGGAAUCACUUAGGAAUGGUAAAAUCAGGUCUUCUGAUUAAGUGACUCUUUCAAUAGUGUUGUACAUGAGAGGGUAAAUCAAACACUUGUUUUCUUUUGCCUUGCUGCCCGUGAGCAGCAUCAAGCAAAAGUGUCACCCAUCCUUUGUCUCUUCCAAAAUGAAGUGUUUCUCUCCACAGAGGAGCCUCCGGUCUACUGCUACAUGCCUGUUCAGUUUUAGGGGUUAAAUACAGCCUGUGGUUUUAGAGGGUAAAUAAAUCUGUGACUUCUUAGUUGUAACAAACAACUGUGACUGCCACCAGAUUUGGCAGGAGAGAAUACGCUAUCAAGGCUGUUGUGAACUUAGAAUUGGCAGUAGGGGAGAGCGAGCUGUAUUUAAGUAUUUUUAAAUAAGAACAUGUCCCAAACAUGAAGAUAUGAGCCAGUUUUACAGACUAGGACUGCCAGUUAUCUUUGUGUCCAGUUUCAUGAGGAUGUUUUCCAAAGAAGAAUGUCAGACUUAAAAUAACAAGAGCAUAUGAACUAGGUAUAGCAAUCUGUGUUCUUGCCUUUUGGCCCAUUCCUUUCUAUCUGUAACAAUCUAUGUAUUCUCAUUGUAGAUUAGAUGCGGGUUCUUGGAGAUGCACACUCCUCUUUUCCAUGGGUAAAGCUCCAAGUCUCUAGUUGCCACUGUAAUACAGAUAAUAAUAAGAGCAUAAUCAAGGUUGUAUUUGUUUUGUGGUUAUUCUGAACUCUGGAGGCUCACAGUAAUUAUAAUACCAUUAAAUACUAAUGGCAAAAGAUUUAAGGGUAGAUCAUGAGACUCGUGGAAGGAGAUGAAAAUGUUGCUCAGUACCCCAGGUACUGCAUUCCUCUCCUUUAUAGCAAAAUACCAACUUAAUAUAAUUUCCAAACUGUUGGAGCAUAGAUCAGCUCCUCUUUGCUAAGGGCAAAGCAGGCCGUAUAAAAGGCAGGUUGAUGUGGGAGAAACUGGGCAGGAAUCAACUCAGUCACAAAAAUCAGUUCUCUGUGAUUUUGGAGCAUUGCAUCUCCCUCCAUGUAAGCGUCGGAGAAAUUGCAUUGAGUGCUCAGAGAUAGGAAUGUAACUAUGAAGAAAGCAAGUCUUCUGUAUGCCUCAGUAUUCCUCUCGCCGUGAUAUCUGAUUGCUUUAUGAAUUGUACAGCCAGGGUUAUGACUCCAUUUCAAAAACUUGUGGAGUGUACUGAUGUGAAAGCAUUGUAUGACAUGGUUCUGUGACCCAGCCCUUUGCCUCCUGCAGCUGUAUUCAGUACCAGCAUAGUGAUUUGUUUGCCAGUGCAGUGUGGUGUCUGUCUCCUGUCCUUCAUCAUAAUGUGUUCACAGUGUGAAGCUCCUUUCACGUGCUUGACUAUGUGUAAACACAAGGGAUAAGUGCAUCUAGGAACCAGGUAAUGGAAUUAGUUGUGCUAAGACUUAAGGUGCCAAGGCCCCCAUGUGAGGUAGACGAGCUCCUAGCCAGUCCAAAUAGGACGAGAGCAUCCAAAGGGAAGGAGCAGUGCAUGAUAAAUACCUCUCCUUUGGCACAAUUACAGUAGGCUCGUAACAAAUGUGAAAAAUGCAAUUUUCCUGCAGCUUUUUAAUUUCCUACUAAUGCCUUUCACGGAUGUAAAAAAUGUUUGUUUGGGUUUUUUUUUUUUUCAAAUCAUUAUCAUUUAAAGCCGUAUGAAUUUGAAAGCUCCUACAAGGUUACAAAGGUUAAUUAAAAUAUCUAUAUUAACUGUUCCCAAAACAUAUUAUGUUUGAUUUUUUGUUUUAUUCCUCUGCCUCCUCUUUGCCUUGUGUAUCAUAAAGUUUGCUGACUAAGGGCCAAUGGACAGGACUUACAAACUAUUUUAAUUUCAAUAGCACUCUGGCCUGCAUCAGUAUUCAGGAUGUCAUGCUUAUCUUCAUCUGAUAUGAUGUGUUGACUUGGAAACCGAGCAAGGUGUGGACACAAAAUAAUUUAUUGAAUUAAAUAAAAUCGUAACUACUGAUCAGUGCUUCUGCUGUACUGCUUUGCCAAUUAAAGCAGAAGUCCUUGCUGUUACUGCAUGGGAAUCUGCCGUUUAUCAACUGCCUGCAGACCAUCAGCCCUGUUCCACAUGGUGUGCUCUGCAGUUCUGCCUGCAGGCCAGCAUGGCACAGGGAAAAGCAGGGCAGCAUCAGGCUCAGGAGCUGCGCAGACCCAGCGUGGUGUUACCCACCGCAGUUGCAAUGCAGAUGUUACAUGCAUGAGAUCCUUCACGCCUUAUAACAUUUGUUUAGGUUCCCAGCAUGCAGCAACGUGCUGUCUGCUCCUAUGUAUUUAUGUCUGUUAUGCUCACAGGAAGGAAUGUGCUUUACUUAGCAGCUUAACCUGUAGGAAUUCGAACAGAUUCUACUUUUUUGACCUCUGCUUGUUUUUCAGGUCUGUAGCACUGUCCGUCCCUCUCUGCUCUAAGGCAAAUUCUAGUGAGAUGUCCAUGACUUUUUGGUACCUUCUGUCAUUUUCAGUUGUUAAUAACCUCCUUUCAGCUGUUGAAACUGAGGCAUUCUUCUGCAGUUAACUGUGAGAUAGCCACAUUAAACUCUGUGGGGCUGAGCGAUACUAUGGAGCUCAGGAGAGAUUUUAAUAGGUUCCUGGGCUCUCCUAAGUUCCUGUGUCUAAUUUAAACCAAAGCAGCACAUCCAUACCCUCGUGUACAGGCAUACCUUGGAUGCUUCAACCGUGUCAGCUUAUGUUGAACAAUGCACCUUUGCCCAGUCUGUAUGGAAACACACAGUGCUGACGUUUGGUUUCUCUUUGUGUAGCUACUUUUCCAUUUAGAGACAAUUUUAAGGCCUUGCUCUAAUUUUGCCGAAGGAAGCCAAGAUGCAGACAUUAAAUCUGGUCUUAAUUCAGGGUUGUUACGGCCAUCUUGAUGCCCACUUAGGCAGGCAUGAAUUAAAUAAGCUGACAUUCAGCCGUUAAAGUUUCUUUUUGUGUGUGCGUGAUACAAGUCCUGGUUUUCUAGCAAUCCUUAAGGUUUCUAUACUAGUAAUGGUAAAUCUGGAUUUCUUGAGAAGGUUCUCAAUACGUGAGCCAUGUACUGGUAGACACAUUCACGGGCAGGUUUGUGCCUUCUAAAGCGUUUGGAAAGUGUGAUCCAAAGAGGUAAAAACUAAGCAGAGAAACUCAUUCAUCAGCUCAUGUCCUGCAGCGUGCCAUUUGCGUAUGCAGCAGAAGUGGAGCUGAGCCAAAGAGCAGCUGAGUUUGUGGACGGCUUUGAAUCCAAAGUCACGACGGGACCUGCUGGGAUGUCUAGGAUCCUCCCCCAGAGCAUUAAUGAGAAAGAGAUGCCAUCUGGAAGAAUUUUCUUGCCAAGAUAUUGUGAUGCCAUCUUUGUCCUCCGAUUCUCAUCAAUCACAAAUGGCUUUUAAACAGAUUUGUAUUUUACCUUCCGUCAAAUGAUUUCAUCUUCUCAGCUCCUAUGAACACUCUCUUUGACCUUUCAAUAGACUCUUUUAGGAGAAGACUUUUUAUUUCUGAUAAGACACGUUGGUAGUGAUAAUCUGUCACUUCUUUCCUUUGCCUGCAUCGGUGUAUCUCCCCUUUCAUCUCAGCUGACUCUUCCACUCCUCCUCUUAUCCCACUGAAUUUUGUUUCCUCUUCCUUUACUGUAGAUACGAAAAAGCUACUUGAUUUUUUUAAAAAUUAAUUAAAUGUAAAUGAAUAGUACAUUCAGUAGUACCAUCAUCAGUUUUAUUGGCGUGGAAUCGAGUCGUUUGUAUAUUGUUCCUUCAUUUCUAAUUCACCUCUGUUUAAUUCAGUAUUAACUUUCAAAUUGGACAAUCCAUACUGCUAUGAUGAGGCUGGUUUUAUGCAGCUUAUAUUUUAGAGGGUUUCUUGUAUUACACCCAUAGGAGCUACAAUCAUUUAUUUAAGUAUAGGUCUAGCUUUGAGAGCUUUCUAGGCCACAUAAUCCCAGCUGUGCACUUUUAAAUACUGUGCUGUGUAACUCCACAGUGAAAUAACGGCAGCGUUUAAAUCAUCACUGUCUACACAGUGUCUAGAAUGUGUUUGGGCUUGUUUAAAAGGAAAAAAAAAUCAGGAAAGUAAAUCAAUUCAUUCACUAGAAUGUUUCUAACACCUCAUACUGGGGAACAGCGAUCCAGCUGAGGUUGUUAUGCGCCUUACCUGUACAUUUAAAUGAGGCAACCCGUCUGGAAGAUCUGCAGCUGGAGUGCACAGCACAGAGAAGGGAAGCAGGGCAGACCUAACGCUGUUACAGAUGGGAAACUGAGACACAAAGGCAUUAGAAGUGGUUUGUAGCUGAGCUGGGAGUUAACACGUGUGUCUGGUUCUACCUCUGAAAACAUCCUUGCUUUUUAACUUUCUCUUUUGUUCACACAGAAUGAGUGGCACUGCAGCAAAGUUGCCUUUUCAGAACUAUGCAGUAGCUCUGAAAAGGUCUUCAGGAGCGUUCAAGAAUAUGAGAAGCUGUUAAAACGAAUAUCUGACAUAGAAUAGCAUAAUGCCUGUGUAAUGAUAGGAGGGAGAGAGUAAAAAGAGGAUGGGAGUGAAAAAAGCACCUUUAGGCCGGUAUUAAGAGUUUGUCUAAUGCAAGCGUGAAGGGAAGUAGAAGUAGGCUGAUCUUUUAUUAGCUGGCACUAAAUCCAUUUUGUCUCUUAAAGACUAAAAUUGUGCCGGUGAGGUCUGGAGACCUUCUUCAAUUGGAUUUACACAGGCUGCAGGGCAUGUAAUCAAUAGCAAUUUGUUUAUCGUUCCCUGGAUCUAUCCACCUUAUUUAGGGCCUUGAAAAUUCUGGUGUGCUAAACUGCUUCCAGAUUCCUGGGUCCCUCUUGUGCUGCCCUACUGUGGGCUGCGGAGGGCCCUGCAGUCUCUUUUCUUCCCCCAGGCAGUGGAGUGGCAGUGAAGCCAUCUGAUAACCGAUAAUCAAAUCUCAAAACAUAUUUUCCCCUAAAGGGUUCGGUAUAUAGGCUGUGAAACAAUUGCUCCUCUAGCCCAGCCCUGCACCUUCUAAUCUUUCCUGGGCAGUGCAAUGUGCCCUUCCCACUCCCAUCUUUCCUUAGGACAACAAAAACCGUAAUUCUGCUGAUGGAAACGUUCUCUGAGCUGCAGGGCUGCAGAAAUAGGAUUUGCCCCUGUGGCAGUUUGAGGUUAAGCUCCUUUAUGUUCUUGCAGCAGUUCAGCUGCUGUUGUGGUUUAGAUGAGUGCGUGUGGACCCCGAGCUUGGUGCCGCAUCAGUUCAUUUCAGUGUGGGUGUUCUGAGCAUGUGGCCUAUAGAUGAAUAACGCGAGCUGGAGCAGAGGAGAACACGUAGCCACACAGAGCUCUUGCACUAAACCUGAACUCUAGAGGUUUCAUUUGUAUUCAAGUGCUCAUGCAAUCAAAACCACUGAAGCAAGCCUUUGCCAUGGAAAAUCUAAUUUUAUUACGUAAAAAGAAUAUGUGAUAGUUUGGGGCUGGUUGCACUUGGUAAUUAUUACUGUUAAUUUAUUUUUAUUGAGUACGUGGCUCAAUAGAAAAUAGGCCCUUCCAAAUGUUUCUUCAGAAAUAGGCUUCAGGCAUGAGUUUGGACAAGGAGCAUCUGCCUUCUGAUCACUUGGGUGCUUGGAACGCGGUGGCCAAAAGCUGUAUGAAAUGUUAUGGGAUGCUGAUAUAUGGGUUUUUAACCUUUAUUUAAACAGUACUAAUUUUAGCCUUAGAUUUUUAAUUUGUGUGGGUAUAUAUGAAAUGUUAUUUGAAAAAGAAGCUUUUCUGUAAGAAAAACCAGCAUUCAUUUGUAUUCCUGCUUGUUACAAGUAACAAAGAAGGUAACCAAUAGAAAUGAUGCCCUGUGCUUAUUAGACUUGCAGAGAAAUGUAGCUAUUAUCAACUUUUACCGUCUCCUGUAAUAAAUUUGCAUUUUAAUAGGACAGGGUGCUGAGGAAGUCAAGGGGUGAGUGGUGACGCAGUAACACUUCAGCAUCGCUGUUCACAUAAGCAGAUGAGGACUGACAGCCACUAAGUGCAGCCCAUGCUGUAUUGAGGAAGAAUAUAGGCCAUAGUAAACACAAAAAAAUAAAUUCCAGCCUGCAGGGCCUAAUGGAAAACCAGUCCUCUUGAGAGGAAAGAUCAUUAUGCACCACCAUGUUAGAGCUGCCAUCUAUUGCCCUGGCAGUUCUGGAGCUACUGGGUUCUGUUUUGUUCUCCAGGUUCUGGGUCUCUGUACCUUGAAUUGGGCUGUAUGCUUUCCAGGUAGUUCUAGGGAAAUCUGAUCUACCAUAUCGUCUUGCUUAGCUUCAGAUCAUUAGAAUAUCGGUACUAUGCAUAUAUGAAGCAGGACUGUAUGGCUUUCUUCUCAUGUGCAGAAGACAGACUGUACUAGCUUUCCCUAAUUGGCAAAUGAAAUGUAAGGGAGGUGCAGUUUGUCGAACCUCUCCAAAGGCAGGAGCUGCCCUAAGGAUAGUCCUGUCUUCCUUCCUUGGCCACAUUCCUGACCCCUCCUGGCUGCCCGAGCCAGAGGACGUGGGUCUGCACGAGCUGAAAAAUCCACCCUAAGUUGUGUAAUUCAGAGCUUUUGUGAGGAGUGGGAGGGGUAGUAGAGGGGAAAUGUUAGCUUAAAUUUGAUAUAAAGAGAACUUUCCUUCCAGCACCUCAGCAUAGGGAGCAAACGAGACCAUGUUUCUUGGCUAAGCAGAAUAUUUAUUUGCAAAUUAUGAGUAGGAGCUGGGAUACAUUCAAAUAAAUUGAAAGAGCGAGCGAUGAAAUACACAUUUUCUAGAAGUUGUGUUGAUUGUACGUGUACCAGAAAUAAGACAUUCUCUUCAAUGCCUGAAAUCUCUUUUAAAGUGCCUCUUGAAGGUAUUUCAGCUUCAAGCUAACCUUUCAAGGCACGUCUGCACAUUGCUAUUCCCAGCUGCAGAGUUAGGGUGAAAUAGAGGUUGAACUGCAGUGAAUGCUUGUAAAAUUGUAUCUCACAAAUCAUGCUAAGAAUGUUUUCAUGCACGUUCUUUUUGCCUUCAGCUCCAUGGUGACUUCCUUGUUGGCGUUUUUUACAGUACUAGUUGGGAAUUGUAUGAAAGCUACUGAGUUUUCUUGCAAGUAGUUUGCAUCUGUAACCUAGCAUGGUAAUGCUUUGGUAUGGAUUUACCAUCUACGCAGAACUGCUGUGCAUGAUCAGGAAGGGAUUUCAAACAGCUACAAGAGCCAUACUCAAACUUUGGCCCUUUUCAGACUCCUGGUAACCAUGGCAGUCAUUUCUUAAGACAUAACAUUUAUCUUUCUUUUGUUUUAUUCAUAUUAAUAAUGACAUCUGAGCAAAUGUCAGAUGGAAGAAUUUUCUUUAAGUCAGAUUCCAGGCACUGAAUUUCAGUGUUUACCUUGAGAGCUCCAUCAUAUUUAAAGCAAACCAUUUCUGUAGUGUUCGAAGCUGCAGAUGUUAACGUUGUCUUGUUUCAAUUUUAUCAUCUACAACAACAGUACUUAAUGGUUUUAUUCAGCUUGGCAGAAGCAAUAAACUGGACUUCAUCACAGGUAAUGAUGCAUCUAAGUGGAAACGUCUGGAGGUAAUAUAUAUUGAAUUCUGUUUACGUUUUUGUCUAAUGUCAGGCACGCAUUUGUUUAGAAAUGCAUUCGUUACUAGAAUGGAUUCUUGCUGUAAUUAUUCUAAGGAAGUUUUGUAUGUCAUGCAAGUUCUUAAAGUUGAAUUGAGUCUUAAUGGUGACACAGCUGGUCAAUAGCAUGAGUCAAGGAUGUAAAGACAGAAACCAGGAAACUGCACUUGGUUUUGGUGUCUUUCCUCAUCACUCAAAAUGUGACACCUGAGACCAUUGAAUGUGCAAUUCUGGUAACUUUCACUUAGGCAGGCCAUCCUAAUUUGUCUGCUUCUACAGCUUGUUCACAGUUGUGUGGAUUAUUUAUUCACUCGCUGAGAGAUACUAAAAUUGUCAUUUGGGCUUUUGAGGACAAGUAACAGAUGAGACAGAACCCAUGCUUUUUGCCAGGUUUUAUUUCAACCUGAGAUGCUACUCCAGAUGGUAAGGAGGAAGAAUAUCCUGGCACAGCCUGGCGUCCCUGGCACAGCAGGCAGCAUCGAGCUCUUUGCAGAAAGAGAUGCUCGCCUUUCUAGGAGGUAGGAGUCUGGGUUAUCUGGCAUCUUGCAUGUGAUUCUACAUUAAAAAGGAAUUCCACCAAACCACCUUGCAGGCUUUCUGCAGUGUGCAGAGAGGAAUUUUGGAUGAUCUCUUAAAUCCUCUGGUGUAACAGCUCUUCCAUGUUAAUGGCAGUUAAGUAUCAAGGAUUAAAAAGGGUGCAUUUUUAUCUAGGAGAACUCCUCGAGGAAGAACAAACCUUUCACUACAUUUCCAAGGUUAAACAACUGAAUUGAAGGCAAGUACACUGGGGAGUAUGAUAUUAAAUAUUGUAUCAAAGCUCUUAAUGUUAUAUGAAAAGGGGAAAAAAAGAACAACUUAGCAGGCAGAUGAAAACACUUUACCAUCACAGACUGUGUACUCUGUACUUGACAUUGGUGAGACCGCACCUUGAGCACUGUUCCUUCUUGGGCCCCACACUAUAAGAUAAUGAGCUGCUGGAAUGCAUUCAUAGAAGAUUAACAAAGCAGGUGAAGGGGACUAGGACACAAGACUUGUGAGGAGCAGGUGAAGGAACUGGGGCUGUAUAGUCUAGAAAAAAGGAGGCUGAAGGGAGACUUCGUAGCUGUCUACAAUUACCUUAAAGGAGGUUGCAGCAAGGAGGGUGUCAGUCUCUUUUCUCAGGUGUCAAGUGAUAGAAAGUAAGGAAAUGACUUCAAGAUACUCUGAGGAAGGUUUAGAUUGGGUAUCAGGAGGUAUUUAUUCAUAGAACUGGUUGUUAAGUACUGGAAUAGGCUGCCCGCAGAGGUGGUGGAAUCCCCAUCCCUGGAGGUAUUCAAAAGACACAUGGAUGUGGUGCUUAGGAAUGGGGUUAAGCAGUGGUUGGCCUUGAUGAUCUUAAAGGUCUUUUCCAACCUCAAUGAUUCUAUUUAAAAGCUAUACACAGCACGCUUCUAAGAUCAACAGUAACCAUGCUCUUUAGUUUUUCAGCAGCAUCUUAUGAGCUGAGACUGCUUUUGACUUCUGUAUUUAUACUUUUUAAAACAAGAUACAGUAAUUUGAACUACUUAUCAUGUCAGGACUUUUACAACAGUCAACAGGGAUGAUUCCGUUUCUGUACAAUAGCUGAAGAAAAUGUCAAGUACAAAGAAAUGCACAGCUCCCUCGAUACAAAUUAGCUUAUCAUGCAAAUGGUGAAAUAAGGAACUUUGACCCUAUUAUAGUCAGACAUAAGGUAGAGGAUUAACACUCCAGACUUCUAAUUAAUUACAAUGUCUCAUCCUCUUUAUUUUAGCUGAGUAGGCUACUCUUCUAAUUCAAACUAGCAGCUGUCCAGUAUUAAUACUUAUCUGUUAGUACUGCUUCUUGAGCAGCAGUCAGCCUAGAUGAGCGUUGCAAUUCUGAAUGUUUCAAAUGCAAAUUUCACAAAUAUUCAGAAACAUCCUUAAACUUGAAAUACCUUUAUUGUGUGAAUAAUUAACAGUACUUAAACUCUACAAACAAAAAAAAGAAAACAAACCACUCAUCACUGUUUAUGCUAUUUUCUCAUUAAAGAACAGUACUGAUUAUAGUUCCUUUCUUGUAUAACAGCCACACAGUAUUUCAUACAAACUAAUUACAGUAGACAUCACAGUUUUACACCUUUACUGAAAUGGAAAUCCAGAAUACAUUAUGCACAUACCAAAUUUAAGAUGAUACUAAUUAAUCUAAGUCUGGUAUCACAUCUCAGGUUAAACUAGUAUACCACUGAACUGCUCGAGUGAGAAGAUAAAUAUUUAAACUACUUAAUUCUUACGCUAAUUGUUAGACCAUGUUUUAAAAGGAAUGCUGCACAAAAAUUUAAGUCAUUGGCUCAAUUAUAUAGACAAGGAGUCUAUAUAAUAUGGGACAUCUUAUUUCUCCUGCAAUUGACAACAAAUCAAAUAUUGAGAUAUCAUACCUCUAUCGAACACCUAAGAAGUUCCUAUUCUGAGUUUUCAUAAAUUCCAACCCCAUAAAAUGCUUCUGUAAUAGCACAUUUCUUCUCUACUUUAAGGCAUCUGAAAUUCAAACUAAGCUUUUCUCACUAUCGAAAACCAAACUAAGAAAUGCUCUCUGGAGAAAGCCACAGUCUGUCACUUCUACAAACAGUUAUCUUCAGACAGUGUUAUAGGCUGCAGACAAUCCACAGCCACCUUCCCCAGACCUGUUAUGCUUUCCAAAAUGUACCAGAGAGGAUCUCAGUGAUGGAGAUAAAAGAACAUGAGAUGGGUCUCACAUUAAAUUUCUACAGACUAAACAAACCAUAUAAUGGACUUUUAUUAUUCUUAAAAGGUAUUCCUUUUUUCAAUCCACACUACAAAUAAACAACAGACUUCAACUAUCAAAAAAUAAGGAAACUGAUGACAAAGGAAAUCCAAAAUCUAACUUAUUACAUAGUAUUACUGGACUUGUCAACCACAGGUGCCAUCAGUAGGGAUGGUAACGAGGCCCUGGGUUGUAGGAGUUGUAGCCAUAUUGUCCAUAGUAGGAUUGUCCUUGUCUGUGCUGCUGGUAGUUGUUACCCCAACCUCUGUCUGGCCUCUGAUUAGAUCUGUGGUCACCUUGCCAGUUGUAUCUGUCCCCUCUAAAAUACCUGCCAUCUUGAAACCGAUCUCUGUUUCUCUGAUUGCCACCAGAUCUGUUUCUCCAUUCUUCAACUAUCGGAGGGGGAUCUGCAGGGCGUUUCAGGUACUCCUGGUACUCUUUAUCAUCUGCCGUGAACCGAUGAGCAAACAUCUUUUCAUAAUCCACGGGUAUGUCAACCAAGGAAGCCAUUCCAGCGCCGCCAGCCGCCGCCGCACGCAGAGCCCGGCUCUUCCGGUGCGCGCCCCGCCGCUUCCGGUGCCGGCUGAGGGCGGGGUGCCGCAGCGCGGGGGCUCCGCGGGCGGCGGUGGCCUGUGGGUUCGGUUCCGCCAAACCGGAGUUUGGCGCAGAGCGGGCCGACGUGUGUAUAGCGUAGAGAAUGUCAGCGGUUCUUUCCUUGGCGGGUUUUGUGGGAGCCCGGUUCUGCGGCCUUGGCACCGCGGUGGUUGACGAGGCGGUGUGAGUGCACGUGCGCUGAGAGGCGCUGACUUCUGUGUGGGCAAAGCGAGGCGAGGCCUUCCUGGCGGCUGGGUGUACUGCCAUGUGCAGGUGCUACAAGCCUGUGCGUGGCUGGCAUUUCCCACAAGCCAAUAAUGGGUAGAUCUUUAAAACAGAGCGUUUUCUCUGUAUAAAGGAACUGAUUUUUUUUUGUAGAAUCCUUUCAUAAAGCAGUGUUUUUUGUUUGUUUUAGCAAGUUCGGGAUCACUGCAGUGCUUUACUAGAGUCGUUUCCUCUCAGGCAGCAGCAAACAGAGGUUCGUAACCACGUGCAUUGCUAACAGAAAAUGUGACAGCAGCAUCCAGUGCUGCACCGAGAUAAGUGCCCUUUGUUGGAGAUAAACAGCAAUAAUUACAGUCUGCUCUCCUGCAUGACCUGCCGCAGGAGUGCGUUGUCACUUGUCGAAUAGAAAUGAUGACCUCAAUCCGCACGGCCUAAUGCAAAUAUCUGAGCAUGAAUAGCUGGUUCUAAGGCAAACUAAUUGUCAUCGAGGCUGAAAAAUAAUAUAUUUUAGCUUCUGUUUUCCCCAUGUAAUCCCUGUUCUACUGGCUGCCCUUUUAAACUGGGCAGAAACACAUAGGAUUUCAUUUCUUCCCCAGACGUGUUUGGUUCUUGACCACUGAAUAUUGCAGUUCCAGGUGUGUCUACAAAGGAUUUCAUGCAUAAAAUUCAUAAGGUGAUCCUCAAUAAAAUGGUAAUACUUCUUUUUGUUUCUGAGUCUCUAGUCUGCUGUUUCAGGGAGUGUAUUGUUCAUUACAGUACAAAACUUACUUUAAUAGUAAACUUUUAAUUAUAGACUCCAGUCAUCCAUGCAUUUGAGCACAUGCAUAAUCUAAGCAUGUAUAAAAGUUGUUUUGAAGGCAGUGCACCAGUUGUUAAUUCUGUGAGCGCUGUGCUUCAGAUAUUGCCCUUUUACUGAGGUGCUCCAGUCAGCAUUUUCCAUACCAGAGAACCAUUGCAGGGAAUGGCUAAAUCAGGGUAGCUCAUGUAUAAAUACACAUUUACAUAUACAUAUGGACUUAAGGUCUUCGUGCUUUGGGUUUUCUUUUCAUGACAUGUCUUCAUGCCUGCUCUGGGCUGUAACAUCAAGAAAGAAGUCGCAGUCUGGUUGGCAGUUUCUUCAGAUUUCUUGUCGAUUUUUUACUGAGGUUCAAGCCCCGUGUGAAAAAGCCAAAAUAACAGGUGAUUUGUAAAGGAAUAAGACACUCAAAAAUAGAUAUUGGCACCAAAAAGGACUCUCAACACCCACUAAGAGCUCCAUGUAGCACAAACCUACAUAGGUGGCCAAGCACUUAAAAGGUCUCGUUCCAAGUGUUGUCAAGACUGAGGGUUUGAUAAUCCACUCUUGCAAUCUUUCUCCUCACUUCAAGCCUCUCCAGGUAAUUAAUGUGUUGUUUUAGUACAAACCCAAUCUCAUAAUCAGCAUCUCUGAAGUCCACUGUGGUGUGAUAAAGCCUCAAAGGUUUUAUUUUUUUACUUUUUCUGUGUAUUUCAUUAUGUUAAACAUUGUUUAAGCACUGUUAGGUGAAGCUUAAUCUUGUCAAUUUCAAACUGAGAGCUUCUGGCCUAUUAACAGAGCUUUUGUGGUGAGGAUCUUUCUGCCUGAACAAAGGAAUGUACACUAAAACUAACAAAGUAUUGUCUGCCUUGAACAGAUGGAAAAUUGCAGGGUUCUUUUUAUGAUUAUUUAGUCUUAAUAACUCGUAUUGUUCCAUCACGAGACGUCGUGUUUGAUGUUUUCCAUAAACCCCCAGCUUCUGACCCUGUGUGUUUUCAUUAUCCUCAGCUUUCAUUUAAAACAUGUAUUCCUAGCCCUUGUUAUCACAGUGACUUUCGGGGAAAAGAAAUAACUCUUCUGUACAGAAUAACCAGCCCAUGCUAAGAGGAAAUAGGAAAGCAUUAUUAAAGUUGUAUUUGUUUAAAGUCUUACCUUUUUUACAUUUUGUCAUUCCUUUUUGCCUUGGGUUCGUUGCUGUAUCUCAGUACAGGGUGACAGCUGUGGCAUUUCUAAUGAGAAGUCAGCAUGUACUUUGGUAGCAGAAAAGAAAGGAGAACUUUGGUACAUCUCUGCAUCUUUAAACAGGAGGAAUCCUUUUAACUCAGUGUUAAUAUCUACCAGAUAUAUCCACCAAGAAGCUAACGUCCCUUGUAACCGAGGCCUGUCUGAUCAAAGUGGUAUUUGCCCAUGGACAAACAGGAGGAUAAACUGCC
rnacentral:lncRNA from 1 species